UAUAUAUAUAUAUAUAUACUACGUAAAUAUAGGGAAAACCAAUUAUCUAUGUCAAGUUAUUUAAUCCCAGAUUCUAGUGGGCACUAUUCAGAGGCUUCUCGAAUAAACUUUUAGCUUUGGCGAUCAGUUAGAUCCAAGUACUAUCAGCCGUUGUUGGCAUGAUUUAUCUUUCCCAGUAAUUACUCAGAGCAUGGUUUCACCCACAAAAACUAGUUUGAUUCUCAUCUUUUUCUAGGGCAUCUACUAACAAUGAGAGCAAGAGUUAGCAUAUAACGGUGUAGAAUUCAAAUAUCUUUUUCUAUCCAGAUGCUGAUCAAAAGAAUAAGUAAUCAAAAAUAUCCUUAAGGGAUCAUUUGGAAAGGGUCAAUGUGCCACCCAAGUUCAAGUAUCAAAUUUCAGCUUCAGAUCAAGGCACUUUUCAAAAAGAAAAAUGACAUCUAAAACUCAAGACUCAAGAAAAGAUUCAAGAUAUGAUAUAUAGAUAGGAUCUUGUACUUGUAUUUUCCUUUUAACUUUAGUCUUUACUUUGAUGUAAUAACGGAAGUUGCGGACCGGAUCUUGAA